rnacentral:pre_miRNA from 1 species
AGCCUUUUUUAUCCAUGCUGAGAUUUCGUUAGCAACCAACCCACUAGGGCUUAUGCAACUUCCCAAAUAAGUGAAGUA